GAAAUUUCAGCCUGUCCUUUCUGGCAAAGAGAAGGGGGUGGUGAUUACUUAUCUUCACUUGUGAUGAGGAGACAAGCAAGGGUUUAUACCUUAAUAUAAAUUGAUUACAUAAUCAAAGUUUCCAUCAAGAGAGGAAGUUAUCUGUUAUGCUGCUCUAUAAAUCACUUUUGGUGUCUCACAUUUUCUUCACAUUCUACUAGGACAACUCAUAUCUCUUCAUCGCUUCAGGGAGUGUGAAUUUUUAUCCAUAAUUUCCAAUGAAGGAAACAGUAGAAUUAACCAACCUCAGAGAUGAAAGUUCAUGAAUCUCAUAAGUAAAUUAAUGCUUUGAUCUUACCAACUUUAGCAGGAUGCAUUCAAAUUGGAGAUUGUCUUUUCUGAGCUCUAUGAUAAAAGAACAUGUUUUGAAGCUGGAAGAUACCCUGCUGCUGCAGAUGUGAAGCCCCCAUUCCCUUUGAGACUCACUCAAAUCUUCCUCAGAGGACAGAGAAGUGCAGAUAACUACACACAGGAGCUUCUUUAGUAUGUGGCAGUUUAUAGCAUUGUUUGCUAUAGAAAGGUGUCAGCAGGCAGCCCCCUCCCUCUACAGUCAUCCAUUGGUUAGGUUUCCUGAUCUUUCUUGUGACUGGGGGAGCUGAAUAUUUAGCAGCAAUUAAGACUUAUGAAUGGCUUUAAUAUGUUCAGCUGCACAAGAAGUAUACAUGCCAAAGGCUAGGAAAAAAAUUCUGUGGAACCCAACUGUUUUAACUGGGUUUGUAAAUUAAGCACAGCAAGUAAGGUUAUGGAAAAAUAACACAAGAAUCAGAUGGCUGAAGUUCUUCCUGGUGAUGGGAAACUGAAAGAUCUGUGUAAGCCUUUGGUGAUUUGCUGGUUAACAUGAAUUUCCUUCUCACCACAAAUGGUAAGUAAACUUCCACUGCAUAUAGUAACAUGUAUGUCUGAGUCAACAAGCCUAGAACCUCACUACACAACUCACUAUCUAAGCUGUCCAUCAUUUAUUAUUGUUUGAAGGGCAUUUUCUAAAGAUGUAACAUUAUUUUUUUUUACUCAAAUUCUCAGAACUCUCCAAGAAUUUCCAAAGCAGAAUUCUGGGAGUUC
rnacentral:lncRNA from 1 species